rnacentral:rRNA from 1 species
GACGAACGCUGGCGGCGUGCUUAACACAUGCAAGUCGAACGGAAAGGCCCUGCUUUUGUGGGGUGCUCGAGUGGCGAACGGGUGAGUAACACGUGAGUAACCUGCCCUUGACUUUGGGAUAACUUCAGGAAACUGGGGCUAAUACCGGAUAGGAGCUCCUGCUGCAUGGUGGGGGUUGGAAAGUUUCGGCGGUUGGGGAUGGACUCGCGGCUUAUCAGCUUGUUGGUGGGGUAGUGGCUUACCAAGGCUUUGACGGGUAGCCGGCCUGAGAGGGUGACCGGCCACAUUGGGAAUGAGGUACGGCCCAGAAUCCUACGGGGGGCAGCAGUGGGGAAUAUUGCCCAAUGGGCGGAAGCCCGAUGCAGCAACGCCGCGGGCGGGAUGACGGCCUUCGGGUUGGAAACCGCUUUCGCCUGGGACGAAGCGGGAGUGACGGUAAUGGGUAAAGAAGCACCGGCUAACUACGUG